GCGCCAAUGGUUUAGUGGUAAAAUACAGCUUUGCCAAGCGGAGUAGCUGUGCCGGGGGUUCGAUUCCCCCUUGGCGCA